rfam:Caulobacter vibrioides strain T5M6 contig_91, whole genome shotgun sequence.
CGGAGAUCGGCGACGGACGAUGGCCUCGCCAACUUGGUCAGGGCCGGAAGGCAGCAGCCACAACGAGAUCACCCUCGGGUCGCCCGCCGGUCUCCACCU